rnacentral:ncRNA from 2 species
GGCAGAGUAGGGACAUACGUGUACAUCCAGUGCUGGAGAGACGGGGAGUUGCUCUUCGGACGAAAGGACCGCGAGUCCGCAGUGUGUGUCCCGCAUCCCGCUGCC